UACGGAGGGUGCAAGCGUUGUCCGGAUUUAUUGGGCGUAAAGGGCGCGUAGGCGGACGACCAAGUUGGGGGUGAAAGCCCGGGGCUCAACCUCGGAACUGCCUUCAAAACUGGUCGUCUAGAGUAUGAGAGAGGUGUGUGGAACUCCGAGUGUAGAGGUGAAAUUCGUAGAUAUUCGGAAGAACACCAGUGGCGAAGGCGACACACUGGCUCAUUACUGACGCUGAGGCGCGAAAGCGUGGGGAGCAAACAGG
rnacentral:rRNA from 1 species